rnacentral:rRNA from 1 species
AAUCAUUUGUCUUUUAAAUGAAGACUUGUAUGAACGGCAAAACCUCCUCCAACUGUCUCCCCUCCCAUCCUUCCAAAUUUCCUCCUGUGUGAAGAAGCGCAGAUACACCAGAAAGACGAGAAGACCCUGUCGAGCUUUAACCACUAAGUGGGCCUUACCCUUUCAGGCACCACCCAAAGGUUUUGGUUGGGGCAACCACGGAGAAAAAACAUCCUCCAGAACGAAUAGAAGAAAGCUUUUCACUAUUAUUACGACCAAGAACCAGGAACUGGUAUUCGGAAAGAGUUACCGCAGGGAUAACAGCGUCAUCUCCUCUAAGAGUCCUUAUUGACGAGGAGGUUUGCGACCUCGAUGUUGGAUUGGGGCCCCCUUAGGGUGCAGAAGCUCUAAACGGUUAGACUGUUCGUCUAUUAAAGCCCUACAUGAUCUGAGUUCAAACCGGAG